UAACAGGAAGCAGCUUGCUGUUUUGCUGACGAGUGGCGGACGGGUGAGUAAUGUCUGGGAAACUGCCUGAUGGAGGGGGAUAACUACUGGAAACGGUAGCUAAUACCGCAUAACGUCGCAAGACCAAAGAGGGGGACCUUAGGGCCUCUUGCCAUCGGAUGUGCCCAGAUGGGAUUAGCUAGUAGGUGGGGUAACGGCUCACCUAGGCGACGAUCCCUAGCUGGUCUGAGAGGAUGACCAGCCACACUGGAACUGAGACACGGUCCAGACUCCUACGGGAGGCAGCAGUGGGGAAUAUUGCACAAUGGGCGCAAGCCUGAUGCAGCCAUGCCGCGUGUAUGAAGAAGGCCUUCGGGUUGUAAAGUACUUUCAGCGGGGAGGAAGGGAGUAAAGUUAAUACCUUUGCUCAUUGACGUUACCCGCAGAAGAAGCACCGGCUAACUCCGUGCCAGCAGCCGCGGUAAUACGGAGGGUGCAAGCGUUAAUCGGAAUUACUGGGCGUAAAGCGCACGCAGGCGGUUUGUUAAGUCAGAUGUGAAAUCCCCGGGCUCAACCUGGGAACUGCAUCUGAUACUGGCAAGCUUGAGUCUCGUAGAGGGGGGUAGAAUUCCAGGUGUAGCGGUGAAAUGCGUAGAGAUCUGGAGGAAUACCGGUGGCGAAGGCGGCCCCCUGGACGAAGACUGACGCUCAGGUGCGAAAGCGUGGGGAGCAAACAGGAUUAGAUACCCUGGUAGUCCACGCCGUAAACGAUGUCGACUUGGAGGUUGUGCCCUUGAGGCGUGGCUUCCGGAGCUAACGCGUUAAGUCGACCGCCUGGGGAGUACGGCCGCAAGGUUAAAACUCAAAUGAAUUGACGGGGGCCCGCACAAGCGGUGGAGCAUGUGGUUUAAUUCGAUGCAACGCGAAGAACCUUACCUGGUCUUGACAUCCACGGAAGUUUUCAGAGAUGAGAAUGUGCCUUCGGGAACCGUGAGACAGGUGCUGCAUGGCUGUCGUCAGCUCGUGUUGUGAAAUGUUGGGUUAAGUCCCGCAACGAGCGCAACCCUUAUCCUUUGUUGCCAGCGGUCCGGCCGGGAACUCAAAGGAGACUGCCAGUGAUAAACUGGAGGAAGGUGGGGAUGACGUCAAGUCAUCAUGGCCCUUACGACCAGGGCUACACACGUGCUACAAUGGCGCAUACAAAGAGAAGCGACCUCGCGAGAGCAAGCGGACCUCAUAAAGUGCGUCGUAGUCCGGAUUGGAGUCUGCAACUCGACUCCAUGAAGUCGGAAUCGCUAGUAAUCGUGGAUCAGAAUGCCACGGUGAAUACGUUCCCGGGCCUUGUACACACCGCCCGUCACACCAUGGGAGUGGGUUGCAAAAGAAGUAGGUAGCUUAACCUUCGGGAGGGCGCUUACCACUUUGUGAUUCAUGACUGGGGUGAAGUCGUAACAAGGUAACCGUAGGGGAACCUGCGGUUGGAUCACCUCCUUAC
rnacentral:rRNA from 1 species